rnacentral:rRNA from 1 species
UACGUAGGGUGCAAGCGUUGUCCGGAAUUAUUGGGCGUAAAGAGCUCGUAGGCGGUCUGUCGCGUCGGAUGUGAAAACCCAGGGCUCAACCCUGGGCCUGCAUUCGAUACGGGCAGACUAGAGUUCGGUAGGGGAGACUGGAAUCCCUGGUGUAGCGGUGAAAUGCGCAGAUAUCAGGAGGAACACCGGUGGCGAAGGCGGGUCUCUGGGCCGAAACUGACGCUGAGGAGCGAAAGCGUGGGGAGCAAACAGG